rnacentral:rRNA from 1 species
UACGUAGGGGGCUAGCGUUGUCCGGAAUCAUUGGGCGUAAAGCGCGCGUAGGCGGCCCGGUAAGUCCGCUGUAAAAGUCCAGGGCUCAACCCUGGAAAGCCGGUGGAUACUGUCGGGCUCGAGUCCGGAAGAGGCGAGUGGAAUUCCUGGUGUAGCGGUGGAAUGCGCAGAUAUCAGGAAGAACACCUAUGGCGAAGGCAGCUCUCUGGGACGGUACUGACGCUGAGACGCGAAAGCGUGGGGAGCGAACAGG